AACGAACGCUGGCGGCAUGCCUAACACAUGCAAGUCGAACGAGCCCUUCGGGUAUUGUGGCGCCUGGGUGUGACACGUGUGGGAAGAUGCACUUAGGUUCGGAAUAACUCCAAGACUGGGGUGAUUACCGCGGACAAUGUCUUAGGACAAAGGAUGUCUUGCAUUUGGUUGGUCCCGCGUUGGAUUAGCUCUUUGGGAGGGUAAAAGCAUACCAAGGAGACGAUUCAUAGCUGGUCAGAGAGGAUGAGCAGCCACACUGGGACUGGGACACGGCCCAGACUCCUACGGGAGGCAGCAGUGGGGAAUAUUGGACAGUGGGCGAAAGCCUGAUCCAGCAAUGCCGCGUAAGUGAUGAAGGCCUUAGAGAUGUAAAGCUCUUUUACCCGGGAAGAUAAUGACAGUACCGGAAGAAUAAGCUCCGGCUAACUCCGUG
rnacentral:rRNA from 1 species